UUUCCUAGUUACCCUCCCUUUCUUAUCUUCACUACUAACUCUCUCCCUCUCCCAUUGACCCACCCUUUGCUCACCAUGCUCACUACUUCUUUUCUCACCGUUGUCACCACCCUCUUCUUCACCUCUUUUAGUAUCUCUCACCCUCGCUUCCCCCGUCUCCCCUUGUAACAUCUUAACCGACCACAUACCUUUUUUUCAGCAAAAAGAUACCCCUCGUUUUGGAAAAAUAAAUAUAGCCCAAGGUUUGGCCCUGGUCUCCCUUAAAGGAUGUUUUCUCGAGUCCUUGGUGGUCCAAUUUUCUCGAGUUCGUGGUUUCUCAUAAUGGACUUGAUUUGUCAACGACAAAUUCAACGCACCAACUCGUUGAUUCGAUGUAGCAGCUAACGCCCAAUGUUGGGCCUUGUGCCUGCGACAUUUGUGUUUGUCAAGGAGUUACUUUUUAGAAUUGAACAUCUAUCUAGUAUAGCUGAAUUGUUUAGUUAAGUAUCCAUACUGAUUUCUUGAUUUGUAUUUUAUAUGGGUUUGUUUCAUUCUACUAGGAUUGUUUAUCCCUUGUAAGGAAUUUAUAAAGGUCAAAUUUUGCAUUUAAUGGAAUUAGUACCUCUACUCUAAAUUGCUCAAAUUUAGUACUUGGUACUUUUUCAAAAUUUAAAA